UCCCUAGUGGUCUAGUGGUUAGGAUUCGGUGCUGUCACCAUUGUGGCCUGGGUUCAAUCCCUGGUCUGGGAA
rnacentral:tRNA from 1 species